rnacentral:tRNA from 2 species
GGGCCUGUAGUUCAGCGGCUAGAACGUUGCCCUCACAUGGCAAAGGUCACCGGUUCGAUUCCGGUCAGGCCCA